rnacentral:rRNA from 1 species
CAGCCGCGGUAAGACGUAGGUGGCGAGCGUUAGCCGGAAUUACUGGGCGUAAAGCGCACGCAGGCGGUCUCUUAAGUUGGACGUGAAAGCUCCCGGCUUAACUGGGAGAGGUCGUUGAAGACUGGGAGGCUUGAGGCAAUGAGAGGGGUGUAGAAUUCCCGGUGUAGUGGUGGAAUGCGUAGAUAUCGGGGGGAAUACCAGUGGCGAAAGCGGCACCCUAGCGUUAGCCUGACGCUCAUGUGCGAAAGCGUGGGGAGCGAAC